CAAUAGCGUAUAUUUAAGUUGUUGCAGUUAAAAAGCUCGUAGUUGGAUUUCUGGUUGAAGCGACCGGUCGGGCGUUGAUUCGUCUGCACUGGAGUCGGUUUUGGCCAUCCUCUAGGAAAGUGCGUCUGGUAUUAAGUUAUCGGGCGUAUGAUCCUGGUCUUUUACUGUGAAAAAAUUAGAGUGUUUAAAGCAGGCCUUCGCCUUGAAUACAUUAGCAUGGAAUAAUAAGAUAGGACUUUGGUCUAUUUUGUUGGUUUGCAGAUCGAAGUAAUGAUUAAUAGGGAUAGUUGGGGGUAUUUAUAUUCCGAUGUCAGAGGUGAAAUUCUUAGAUUUUCGGAAGAUAAACUUAUGCGAAAGCAUUUACCAAGGAUGUUUUCAUUAA
rnacentral:rRNA from 1 species